CACACACACACACACAGACACACACACAAACACGCCCAAAACAUAACCUUAGCCAUUCUGGCAAAGGUAAUUAUUGUGUCUUUCUGGGGUCGCCCUGUAGCUGACAGAUAUGGUUAGACAAUUCACAAAAUUGUCCAGCCUAAGGCAUACUUGUCGUAUUGUUAUGUGUAUCCCUGUCCGUCUGUGUGAUAUUUCUCCUUUACUUCUUCAUUUCCGCACGCAGGUCAGACCGAGAUGUGUCUGAAACUCGAGUCAAAGGGUAACAAGUCCAAUGAAAUGGUAGAAAGAAUCGGAAUUUUUUUUUGUUCUCUUCGCAAAUUAGGACUCGGUCUGCUCAUAUCUAGGGCCAGUAUCUUGUGUCCCUAGAAAUGUGCUGUACAGCUGCUAAAACCUCAGUGUCAAACUGAACGAAUUUACCAUAAACUUCAGCAAAACCACAAUGUCCAAUUUUAUGAUACGCAUGAGCAAAACCACAUAUUGAUACUCUUUGACAUGUUUUGCAGUUAGCACAGUCCGUGAUUACUGUGUUUUUCUGGGUUCGUCCUAUGGCUGAUGAAUAUGAGAGUAAUUAACAAAUACCUCCAUAAGUGUGGUAUGCGAAUGGACCUUUGUGUGUGAUGCCCGCUGGAGACGCUAACUCCUACCGCUAACAGCCUACCGGACAACCUGAAGACCGGAGGUUUCAGUGGCACCAAAAGGCCAGAAGUAAACGUUAGGUUGAUGAAUAACAAUCGUGAAAGCGCAGUUUUGUAAUGAUCCUCAUGGACAUUGUGUUGUAUUUCUUCCGUUCAUGUUGAGUGUUCGCUGUGGAAUUUCGCUUAUUUCGGUGGUUGUUCAAUAAAACCUGAUGUAAAAACA